rnacentral:rRNA from 1 species
AUUGAACGCUGGCGGCAGGCCUAACACAUGCAAGUCGAACGAGUGGCGGACGGGUGAGUAAUGUCUGGGAAUCUGCCUGAUGGAGGGGGAUAGCUACCGGAAACGAUAGCUACUACCGCAUACCAUCAGAUGGGCCGAGGUGGGAUUAGGUUGUUGUUGGGGUAAAGGCUUACCAAGACGACGAUCCCUAGCUGGUCUGAGAGGAUGACCAGCCCCACUGGAACUGAGACACGGUCCAGACUCCUACGGGAGGCAGCAGUGGGGAAUAUUGCACAAUGGGCGCAAGCCUGAUGCAGCCAUGCCGCGUGUAUGAAGAAGGCCUUCGGGUUGUAAAGUACUUUCAGCUGGGAGGCGUUACCCGCAGAAGAAGCACCGGCUAACUCCGUGCCAGCAGCCGCGGUAAUUC